AGCUUUGUGCAGUGGCAGUAUCGUAGCCAAUGAGGUUUAUCCAAGGCGCGAUUAUUGCUAAUAGAAAUUAAGGAAGAGAAAAUACAUUUAUAGUACUGUACUGCAAAAAGCCUGCAUGUAGCUUAACUGACUGGGUGGUUCAGUCAGUUAAGCCUCUGACUCUUGAUUUUGGCUCAGGGCA
ensembl:snRNA U4 U4 spliceosomal RNA